AGAAGGGGAGACCUUUUGCCAGAUCACCCAACCCAGCUGGGAAAGAGUGACUCUGAGGGGCUGCUGAGCCAGCAGACGCAUCAGAGAUCUGCCCCCUCUCUAUAUUCAGAGUUAAGAUCUGCUAGCAUUCAAGAUAAAAACAAGCUACCCUUUCCUGCUGUGAGCCCUGCAAAGCCAACACAGCUACGAGACAAACCAUGAGCUGGAGUCUGUCCCUUCUUUGGCAUUAUCAAGAGAAUUGCUUCCUAGAUUCCAAGAAGUUUUACCUAUUUUACUUUUCACUGAAGUUUGCCAGGUAGGCAGCCUGAGAUUUCCUCUGGGGUACAACCAGUCCAGUGACCUCACUGCCUCUAGAGCAAUCAACGCCGACAACUCAUAGCCGGGGCCAGACUUCUAUUUUGAAAA